AAUUGGCGCAACUGAGCGGAGCCUAACAAGAUCUGUUUUGAAAAUGAAGGGCCAGCCUCAAAACGGCGCCAAAGAAGAAGAAAACGACCCCUCUGAGUCCUAGGAACCUGUUUAGCGGGAGUCUGUAAGCAUCCAUCUCGUACACUUGGGUUCUUGCAAAACUCACCGUCUCCUCUUCCAAUAGUUGGUAAACAUAAUACCAAUUCUUUAACUGCAGUUGCAAUUUCAAGGUAUCAGCUGUGUUAGGAGAGCUCAAGCGGCGUCGUUACUAUAACAGGAACCCAAAACAACGUGAAGCAAUUUCGGUUCUUUUCACCGUUUGCUGUUCGUUUCCUGUUGUUUCUGUCCAUUGCCACAGAAAUUAGUGAUGUUAGGUCAAGGAAGUUUAGCAUUUAACAACAGGAACAUGUUAGUUUAAGGACUUCACUGCUCUACUUCGGAUGGUUGAAAAUAAUCUUAUUGAUAUAACAUUACAAAUGCUAAUCAUCUUUAAGCACCCAUCACAAAUGUAAAUUUUCAAAUUUACCACCCUUUAACCCUUACCACAUAAAACUAUUAUAUACCACAUCACAAAACUUUGCAAAGAGAGAAGAAGUACAAAUUAAGAUUUUUUAUUUUAUCUUUUUUGGCACCAAGUCUUCAUUGUACUAGUAUAUCUUGUAAGCACAACUGGUGUGCAAGGGCAUAUUUGCAUACUUUUUGUGUUUCUAUGUGGACUCAGGGUGGUAUCUAAUAGACAAACAACAUAUAUAUAUAUAUAUAUAUUUCCCCUGAAACCUAGGUACUCAAAAUAUUGUAAUUUCUCCUAGUUGCCACUCGAGCAUUAGCUUUUGCUUCUCCAAUUGAUUGCUGUUGCAUUAUUUGCUCUUACUUUCCUAUUAAGGAAAUUACAUGUGGGCUUCCUCCAUUAGAGGACAAAGACAAGUCACCCAAUUUACAUUCGGAAAUUUAAUAUUUUGAUAGUGGCACACUAACGAAAGAAAAGACUGAGUUCUUCUUAUGCUUUGACUGGUUAUAAACAAAGCAAGGACAAGUGAAACUCACUGUUUGAAACUUCUUGAAGUAGCUUUAUCUUAUAAUGAUAGUUCACACUUGCACAGCUAGAAACGAGGGCUGUUUUUUAAUUUUGAUAUUAUUUGUGUUAGGUCGCAUAUGGGACUAUUUGACUAUCUCUGGUCCAUUAACAAUCUAUCCAGGUGCCCUCUUUCAGAGUAUCUAACUGGAGAUAUGCAGAUGUACUUUGUAAAAGCAAUAUGUUUGAGUAACCUUGCAGGUUAGUGACUGAUGUGUAUACUGACUGCUGUCUCAUGAGUAUAGAUUCUAUCAAGGAGCCCUUUUUUCAGAGUGUCUAACGGGAGAUAUGCAGAUGCAAAUCAUGAAUGCAAUAUGUUUGAGUAGCCCUUUCAGGAAUUAUUUGGUUGAUCACUUUAAGUUUAUGGGGAAGUAUUGCUUAAGUCAAUAAAAGGAAUGGAUAUGACUUGAGCAGGUCAUGAAUUUAGGCAGAAUGAUUGUUUUAGGUGAUUAAAGUGAGUGGAUGGCAUUCAAAUUCUCUGGAAUCACUUGUUUCAACUCUAGCAUCACAUGCCUCCUGAUCUUAAUUUUGGCUGAUAAGGCAUGUGUUUAUUUUGCAAAAAUCAACUUCAAGUGCACCUUUUUGAUGGAUAGUUCGAAGCUCAAAUAUUUGUUGGAACUGUCAGAUAAGAUAAGUUCUCUGUUCAUAGAAACAUAAAGUUAAAUUCUUUGAUCCCUGAAGCAUACAUCAAAAUGCUUUUGGUUUUUGUUAGAGGAAUUAAAGGUGCUGUAUUACAUCAUGGUUAGUAUAAAAAUUCAUUUGAAGGAAUGUAUAUAUGCCAACAGUUUGACAUUUGCAUCCCUUUUUUUACCUAAUACCCACAAGUUCAAAAAGUGUGUUGUACUCAAAGAAGCAUUUUCCAUUCUAUUUCUUAUUUUCCACAACUAAAUUUCCUUUUCAAAGAACUAUAUUUUAUGCUUGUGAAAAAGUCAAGAUAAUGGUGAGAGAUAUUCAUGAUUUCUGUAAGAUAGGAAAUGAAAAUAAUGGAAAUUAAAAUAUACACUAGAAGGAACAUUAGUAAUGGGAUGUUUGUAAUACUUAUUUUGGGCAGGUAGGUGUACUCUUCUUGUGUUAAGCUAAAGAAACUAAGGGAAACCUUUUCAGAUGGUUCUGAAGCUAGCUUUCAGCAGUUAUACAGUUGAGAAGUUUAGUUAACUUGUGGCCCCAGAAACCAUAAUUCUCAAAUUAGGUGACUAGGUUUCAUAUCAUUCCAUAUCAAACAAGAGGAAUAUCUAAUGAUUUCGUCCAAACCUCGAGUAGAAAGGACUGUUUUUGGAGGGAUCGUUAAUAGCUAUGCUAAAUAACUUAUCCUUUGUGUUUGCUGCUAUAGGUAGGUGGAAUACCAUAGUGCAUACUUUCCACCAAUUAGAUGUUAGCAAAAAAAUUCUCACCAUUAUCUACGCCAAUUAGUUUAAGUUGAACUCCCUUGCUUGGAAUGAUUACUAAAAUUACCGGUCUUGUUCAGACGAUGAAAUGGGGAGAAGAUUUAAAUAGAAAUAGAAGUUUUACCAUUUUAGUUAUUGGUAUGUUGAGAAAACUUGUAUUAUUGGUAUUCUAUGGUAGUUAUCUUUUUGGUUAAGAGACUGAUGCAAGAAGAAAUGCUAGAUCCAUAAGUUUUCGUUAACAUGUAAGAGCGCAAAAGAACUCGUAAUUCCCUCAUAUCAGCACUAACUCUUGGUGACUCUGAGAACCUCUGAUGGCUGCAGGAGUAGGUAAAACAGGUGAACAGUCGAGAAACAGAUUCUUGCAAGAACCGGUACGUAUUUUAUCUAUAUAUAUAUAAAACAAAUUGGUGGUGCCAUGAAUGUAGACAAGAAGAAGAAGACUCCACCAGUUUGCUGCUACAGUACUGAAGAGAUAAUUUAUUUGAGGCAAAGAUUGCCACUGUGAAUAUUGGAACUUAAGUUUGUGAAGGUCCAGAAUAUAGAAAUGGUUGUUCAGAGUUGAAGAAAACGGCAGAGGUAGCAGCAAUGACAGUUACCAAUCAGUUGGGAAAUGGUUUUGGUUAGAGACAUAUGGUGGGUGUAAGAUGGGAGAUGGCUUUCCUCACUGUUUUAAUAAGCAAUUUCUCCUACUUGGAGAAUGGUAGGCCAACGGUCAAAAGAGGACACACCAUCUCUGCUUAUAUUUAUAUUAUUACAGAAUACCAAAAAAAAAACAACUUCUUUAA